AAUGAACGCUGGCGGCGCGCCUAAUACAUGCAAGUCGAGCGAGAAGACGUAGCAAUACGUUUGUAAAGCGGCGAACGGGUGAGGAAUACAUGGGUAACCUACCCUCGAGUGGGGAAUAACUAGCCGAAAGGUUAGCUAAUACCGCGUACGCUUCUUGGACUUCGGUUCAGGGAGGAAAGCGAUACCGUGGGUAUCGCGCUCUUGGAUGGGCUCAUGUCCUAUCAGCUUGUUGGUGAGGUAACGGCUCACCGAGGC
rnacentral:rRNA from 1 species